AUGGAUUCCUUGCUAGAGAGGACUUUCCUUUCUUGUCAUUUGUUGAUUGAGGGUAUUGUUGGUGAGAUGCCCUUUGUUCAUCAAGAAAAAUGAACUUGAACAGAAAGUCUUCUCUAGUAAAGUCUCCAU
rnacentral:misc_RNA from 1 species